GCAACGACUCCCAGGUGCCGCGGGGCCGCGGCCGGCCGGGCGCAGCUGCGCCUCGUCGGGAGCCGCGGGCGGGGCCCGCCCCAAAGCCUCUUAAGCUCCGCCGGAGGCUGCUGGGAGCCACGGAGGAGUUUCUGCGGUUCUCUGUUAGAAGCGAAAUGGACUCUGGUUUCUUUGCCCGGCUUUAGAGCUGCUGGGGUUGAGGAGCGGUAUGAGGGGCUGUUUUUAAAAUGGUGCCUUGGGGUUCUCUUUAUUGUUCUCGUUGUGUGGUUUUGUUUUAGGCUUCUGUGAGAUCUCCCGCGGUGAGGAUCAGCCCAUACCGAGGAGUGGUUCUGGUAAUAAUUGGACCGUGGAGGCGGCGAGGGCUCGGGAGCCGUGUCUCUUCGGUUGGAGCGGGAGGCUGCUGGGUUCCCGGCCCCUCUUUUUUUUUUUUUUUUUUUAGGGCCGGCGCAGGGUUGCUGUCGGGUUUCCCUGGUUGUUUGCAGCCCGUUCAGCGUCGUCGCCCGGUUCUCUUCGAGUUUUUGGAGGAGGCUGCCGCUCAGAUCCCCGAGUCCUUAUGUAGCUCCGGGGUGCUCUCAGCCCCCUGCCCGGGUUGUUUUUAGCGGGUGCUUCGAGUUUUUAAGCUCUCAUCAGUAGGAGCAAGUGGGAUGGGGUCGUAUUCCUGUAGCCUCGGUGCUGCUGGGAGUAGUAAGAAGCAAUGCAAAGGGCUGCUGAAACAGAAGUUUUCUCCUGUUGCAGGCUGAACAAGUGGUGCAGCAGAGCCAAAACCGGUAAGGUCGUGGAACCGGUAAGGUAUCAGCCCAAACCGGUAAGGUCGUGGAAGCAGUGAGUGUGGGGGAGUCACCUAGUAAGAUCUCUUUUCUUGGGGGCUUGGUCGGCUACCUAUGCGCCUUCGGGCUCGGGCUCCCGCGUGGGUUUUUAGCAGGGCCGGCACGGUGCUGCCGCCCGAGACCGAGCACGGCUCCGGGGUGGCCUCUUCCCCCGGGAAGGGUUUUGUGGGUGCUCCCACCCAUCCCGUUUCCUGCGGUGGGAGUGAGCAGGUUGGAACGAUGUAUUUCUCUGCCUUUUCCUUCACGUGUAGCUUCAGGAGCACGGUUUAGGUUGCCAUUGCAGAGACCUGGCAGGGCAGCUCGCACGACUGGAGUGCUGUCGUGGAUGGCUCUGUUCCUUUUAGGAAAGACAGACCGGCCAGGCGGUGGAGUCUCUCUUCGAGGGAGAGAACGGGAACGUAUCGAGCUCCACCUAGGGAUGACUGAAGAAGCAGCGGAGCAUUUGCGUGUGAGGCUGAAGAGGCAGCUGAAAGUGUUGUUCACAGCUGUGAGGCCAGUUCUCAUGGUAGACUCCAGGAGUUUCCUGCAAUGUGUCAAAGUUUCAGUGGUUGCUGCUGAGACUGCUCCUGGGGAACCUGGGAUCCUGGAGGAAAGAGGCUGAGGAAGGAUGAUUUCCCCUCAGCUGCGGAGGAGCUGGUCAAAAGAAAGGUACCUGAAGACUGGAGGAUAGCUGAUGUCACCACAGCCUUCAGAAAAGGUGUCAUUGCCAUGUGACCAGAAGAGAAGAAGUUUGUAAGGAGCAGUCAAGAUGGAUUCACAGAGGGGAAUUCAUGCUGGACCAAAAGGGUGAAGGCUGCAGAGGAGAGCUUUGCAGAGAGGAUUGGCUGGAACAGGUGUGCGCUUUUCCCAGUGGUGGGAUGAAGGAGGGUGGAAGGUCAUGCCCUGAAGGAGGGGAGUUAAGGGAGAGUGGCCCUUUCCAGCUGGAGCUGGGGGUCCCGGUGCGGCUGAUGUCCCGUGGGGAAGAUGCAGAUCCCGGGAGCUGCGACCAGGAGGAGGAGCGGAGCCAGCAGUGGCUCCUGUGUGGUGAUGGCUGCUUAGUGGUGGUGUUCCUGGUCCUGGGCUGAAAGGAGGAGAAAGCUUUUAGUGUGUUACUUCAAAGCUCAGAUCACCUACUCCAACAGCACCAUGCCUCAGCCUCACUUCGCUCACCAGCUGAAAUUGCUGAGGAUGUUUCCUGUGUCUGUGUUGUUGCAGCUGAAUUUCUGCAAGGCAGCCUUUCUCAGAUGCGUACCAGUAUGCGUGCCUUCCAACAACCAGAACAGCUGAGCAAGGAGUACUGUUUGCAGCUAUGAAGCCUACAAGAACCAAAAAACCUCUGUUGAUUCAUAAUGUCUUUCUUGGGCAUGCAUGUUCAGAAGAGAGAUUCCAGCAUGCAUACUCAUCCUUAUAAAGUAUCUUUCCUUAUGAACACCAGUACAGACUCCCUUUCACUGUCUCCUUUAGCUGGAGGCCUGGGCUUUGUGUGUUUGUGUUCCUUCAUCUGUUAUGAGAAGAAAAGAUUUCCUUUUUUUAUUUUGUUUUCAAGACAAAUGAUAAAUAAAAACUCUCAUCCUUAACUCA
ensembl:lncRNA